GAAGGAGAAGGAGAAGGAGACAGAUCUGGAGGAGGGGGAGAAACAGAGAGAGAGAGAAAGAGGAAGGAGGACCAAAUUCCCCCCAAAACAAGUUUAUGUGGUUCCCUCCCAUGCUUGUGGAAGUUCAAAUGAGGAGAAAAUAUCCACAGCGUCAACAGAUGGCCUCUGAUUGUAAAUGGCAUGGAACAAAGACUUUUGAGAUGAAGAUAUACUCGGAUUCCUAAAUACUGGCCUUACAGUUUCAACACUCUUAAGAGGAACAGGGCCCACCAACACGUUAAGUCAACCAGGGCUAUUGAUCAGGACACAUUUACGUCUGCAAAGGCAAGCUAAUCCAGUUUAUACUGGAAUCCUGCAUAUAACAGCAUAAGAUCUGAAAGUCCUGUUCAAAGAAACCUGCAUCUUGGUAACCAUGGGAUCAGACUCCUGGAAAAAUAUUUUUUUCCAAAAAGAGAGAGAGAAACCCUUAACGGGUAGAAUGAGAAAGCAGAAAUUGCAGCAGAGACAAAGCAAAGAGAAAUGGACCAGGCAAUGUCAAAAGGCCAGUAUUUUCUCACUGAGUCACCGUACAUCUUGCGAGCGGUGAUGAACUGAAGCCUGCCAGCCUCUGAAGCGAUGACACUUAAGAUGAAGAAUUGUCACAUUCAAUAUGCAGCCUGACACUGGAUGAUGCUGAGGAGUUAUUGACUGCGAACGAGGCACCUGCAAGGGAGCCAAAGCAAGGCUGCAGCAAAGCAAUGGAAGGAAAGUGGACCAUCUCCAUGGAAGAAGAAGGUGCACAAAGGCCUUCAGGCAGACUCUCAGCUGGGACAACCCGGGCUAAAAACAUCGCAACUAACACAUGGCACUUCCAGAUUGGGCAAAAAUGUCACUGUAUUUGUUACUGCAAUUCUAAUUUUCAAUCUGUAUGUAUCCAAAGGACAUUUCUGUUGUUCCAGACCCUUUUCUGCCUAUUCACUGCCCUACGACAAUAUUUUAUUCCCACCUUCAGCUAUGUUUCAUCUACAGCAGAACCUCA